rnacentral:lncRNA from 1 species
CCAGGCUGCAAGGGCUGCAGAAGGGCCGCGUGCCUGGGAGGCUUAGAGAGAGACUUCCGGGAUGAAAGUUGAACUCCGUGUCCUGGACUCCCCCUCUCCCCAUCCUGGGGCCUCCCAGAGGAGUUUCCCUCUUCUGUUCUUUUGGCUGUCUUCAGCGCUGUGCCUGGAGGUACCUCGAAUGCCCUCUUCAGAAGAGAGCGACGGGCGUGGCUUGUGGCCCAUUCAAGGAUGUGAAGUAGAGCGGCAGCAAUGGAUCGAUCCAUCAAUCUAUCGAUCGGCCCUGUGGUCUGUGCCUCAUUCAAGCUGUGCUCUGGCCUCCUGAGUAGUCCCAGCAGCCUUCGAAGCCACUGUGGACACCACUGUGGACCACGGGCUGCGUUUACAGUCAACAACUCUAGUUUACUGAGGAGAAAACAAGACUUUUAUUAAGCCAGUUUUGCCCAGGGCCUCUUAACCAAGAAGUGAGAGUUGGAACUUGAAUCCAGAUCCCUGUGGUUUCAAAGCCAGGCUCAUUUAUCACUCGCAAAGGCUGGUGCUGGGACACCUGCCGGGGAGCUGGUCUGCUGGCUGAGGGGUCCAGCAUCGGCUUUUCUUGGUCUCUCUAGAGCCCUGAGCUUUAAUUCUGUAGUUCACCUGUCGUGUUCCUCCAAUGUCUGCUGCACAUAUCCCUUCCCUGGAGAUGUUUGGCAUGUUAGGACACAUGUGUCAUUAUUGUUGUCUUUUACUUCACUUUGUGGGGGCGACAAGGAAGAGAAAAUGGAAAAUGCUGAUAAAGGAGAAGACAGGAAGGCAGGAAGUGUGUAAUUUUAACCCAACUUUCAGUAUCUGUGGCAAUGGGUGGCUCUGAAGACCAGGGCUAGAGUUGUGGAAAGUGGAGCUUGUGAGGGGGACAGGAAACCUGGUUCCCUUACUUUGUCAUGAGAGCCUGGGGACCCCAGUGAGGUGGCACUUUGUGCACUUUACAUGGUUCAAGUACAGAACUUGUGUCUACGGGCUAGACCUAGGGAAAAUACUGGUGACAACAUUAGUGACAGUGAGAGGCG